UUCCGCUUCGCCACGCGGCCAACGCCGCUGCACUUCAGCCAUGGCGGACGGCGGCGGAGGGCGAGGAAGAGCGCAACAACUUCGCCAAGCGCCCGUGGCAGUCGGAGGUCCGUUGACGAUGGUGAGCGAGAUGGGUGACAAAACAGGGCCCAAAGAUUGAACAAGCCUACUUCUGUAGCCUCCAGCCAGAUGCCAAGGACAGUCAUGUGGGUGUAGGCAGGCCAAGACAAGAUUGACAUUGACUCUCUCAUGUUGCGGUUCACAAGGCGUACCGUCAAUCCUGAUUCCUCGCAGUGUGUUGCUACAAGAUCAUCAGAUGAUUCAGAUCGGCCUCACUGAGGCUGCAUAUCUGUGUCUCUGGCUGCAUCGCUGCCAGAGGUGGCAAGGUCCCAUCGCUCCGACCUUGAGUGGCCACUGGCCAACAGGCAAGCACCUAGCGAUCGUGGAGGCUGACCUGCUCAAUGGCUUUGGUGCUCACCCGACAGUCGGCACAUCGAACCUACACAACACAACCCUAUCCUGGCCAAGUGGUAACCGGUUGACUGUAGAAGGGGGACCUUUUUACUGUAUUUGACAACUUUUUACCAGCUCCAUCAACUGGAGGUAAUGUGAGAAAUAGUUAAGGUGUUCCUGGAUGAACGUAUCUCAAAUGAAAGGACAAGAGACAUUGAUGAUACCAUAGCACCAAACAUGCUGUAGGACAUAUUUUUCUAUACACUGUGGAACCCACUUCUGCUUUCAACAAUAUAUGCAAGAAGAUAAGAAAGACAAAGAAGCAACAAACAAGAGGCAAUGAUAAACAAUUUCUUCUUUUGGUUUUCAGGUCUUGGUCUGGCAGUACUUGGUUUCUAGUUGCCUGCAAGAGCCAAGAGGUUCAGAGAUUUAGCUCCGAUCUCGAUGCACCAAGGAAACAUCCAUCCUUGAAGAUCUCUCUACAAUAUAUCGUGUCUAGAUCUUUGGAUGAUCGAUGAGGAUGUACGCUUUGCUGCAGCGUUAUCUGCCUAGUUCGGCAGAUAUGUCAGCCAGGUACUCGAUCCUAUACCCUAAAUAUAGAUUUCUUCAUUUUGUUCGAAGCUUAGCACGGCACGUUUUCUUGUAUCGAUCGAGCUAAUCUGCUGUGUAGUUUGUGAUCAUGUUGGACGUGAACAAGUUAUUAAUUUGCUUGUGCUUGAAUGUGUUGUCUCCUUUUAAGUGCACGAAAAUUUCUGAUUAUUGCGAGAAAUGAACUACAUAUUGUGAAACCCCUCUUAUUUUUUUUAGAGUAUACUAGCAAA